rnacentral:lncRNA from 1 species
UCAGUAUUAUUUUAGCACCAUAGACUUCGUAAAUAUAGGAAUCAUUCCCGAAACCCCAUAUACCAUGGCCUUAAUCAUCAUUUCCGUAUAAGUCCUCAGUAGUUUAUCUCAGCAGUCAGCUCUGGCCUACACAUCAUCUACGUAGGGGACCGAUGCAAAUAAGUGAAUGAUCCAUAAAAACAAAAAAAUAAAAGAAAGCAAAAAGGCAACUCCGGUAUAGGUGACCCUCACAAAGUCAUUUAAACCAAAGAAUUGUAAAAAAAUUGCUACAAAAAGAAAAAGA